rnacentral:lncRNA from 1 species
GUCAUGUUUGUGCAGGAAUAGAAACCCUGACUAAGAGAACUACUAUCAAAAUGUUCAACUGAGACAAUGAUCUUUUCUGCCACACAGGUUCUUGACAGGGAACAAAACUGAAAAUUUGGCUUGGUGAUAUAUACACAAAUCUCAACACUCAGGAGGCUAAAGCAGGAAAAUCAAACAUUUGAGGCUACCCUAGGCUAUGUAUAAAACUGUUCUUCAAAAAUAAAAAAACAAAAGCUACAGUUCUGUUUAGUUACCUUCUUAAAAUAUUCAGUAUUUGUUAAAUAUCAGAAGAUGUUAUUAUUAAUGCAUAUCUAUUUUAUUUCAAAUGUGAUCUUCUAAUCAAAACUGUUUACUAAAAUUCACCCCUGAAUAUAUUUCCCUUUUGUGUUGUAGACAUUCAUGAAUAAAUAAAUAUAUGAUUAAUUAAAUUAUUCUUUUAUGUUAGCAAACAGAUUGUCACUUUAAGUCACCCUAUAAGUGUUAAGAUGGGUUAGGAAAUCGCCAUUGUUUUUCUCAUAUAAUUCCCUCUGACAGUUGUAAAAACAACAUUUCCUCUGGAAUGAUGGUUUGAAAGUAAUACCAGAUCUACCCUCUAUAAUUUUCUAAAGAGAGAAAAGAAAUACCAGUACUUUCACAUAUCUUAUACUCAGUUAGCUUACAAAUUCUUUUAUUUUUUUCAGUUAGACUCUUUUUUGUUGUUAUUUUGUUUUUUUUUAAUUAAGGUUUCUCUGUGUAGCCUUGCCUGCCCUGGAACUCACUCUGUAGACCAGGCUGACCUCCACUCAGAGUUCCACCUGCCUCUGCCUCCAAUUGCUAGGUUUAAAGGUGUGUGCCAUCAUCGUCUGACUGAGAUGGAAGCUUCUUUUUUUUUUUUUUUUCGGGUGACACUCCAUGUUUAAUUGGCAAGAUUUUAUUUCUUUUUUAGGGUUAUGGAAAACAAUGACUCAUCUUACUAUUGUGGUAUGUUAUAUUCUUUUUUUUUUUUUUCCUUUUUUUUUUUUCCAUUUUUUAUUAGGUAUUUAACUCAUUUACAUUUCCAAUGCUAUACCAAAAGUCCCCCAUAUCCACCCACCCCCACUCCCCUGCCCACCCACUCCCCCUUUUUGGCCCUGGUAUUCCCCUGUACUGGGGCAUAUGAUGAUAAUGAUCUUGAUAAAGUGCUGCUGCUAUUGGUGACAGUAAUUGCAUCAAUGGAGACAGUAGAUUUGAUGAUGGUCUUGAUGAAAGUGGUGACCAUGAUGUUGAGGAGGUUAUUGAUGAUGAUGUCAAUGGUGACGAUAAUUACGUCAGGGAUGAUGCCAAUGGCAAUGACUAUAAUGUUGGUGGCAGUAAUGACUAUUUUGUUGAUUAGGUUGUUAAUGAUGGUCCAAGUGGUAAUGAUAAUAACUUGUGAUGAUGCUAAUGGUAAUAAUAAUACAAUGAUAGUGGUGGCAAUGAUGGCCAUCAUGUUGAUGGCAACAGUGAUGGUGACAAUCAUGACGGCUACAAAGGUUUGCACUUUUCUUCAGAUUCUUAGUGACAUGGAAUAUAUCUAUAGCCUGUCAAAACUUCAUGUAAUUUAGAAACCAAAGUCUGCUCUAAAUUAUUGCUAGGAACAUGUUCUUCAUUUAGCUUUGCUUUGUAGCUGGCAGAGACAAAUGUUAGCAUCAUUAUCAUCUGAGUCCUUAUACAUUCAUUCUUUUCAUCUGAAUAUAUCUGUGGUGUAAAACUGGAACAGUGACCCUUCUAAAAAAAUAUACUCAAAUAAAUAAAUAGAAAAUGAAACCAAAUUAUCAAGCACAAAUUAGCAAACAGUAAAGAACUAAAGUUUUCUCUAGUCUGUGCCACCUGAAAUCUUGUAAAGAGUACACAUAUCCCAUUGUCAAAUGGCAGGGAUAAAAUACUGUAAGUAUGAUGCUGCUGAAAUUCCAAAUCCUGAGAAAAUGUGACUACAUAAUUAAAGGUGUAUAAGAUGGUAACUUCUACUUGUGUUAGUGGUUGUAAUGAUGCAUUUUGAAAAAUAAUGGAUAGACACUAAAAGUGGGAGCCAGAGAGGAUAGUUCAGUCACAUGCCUGAAACAUAAACAGUUCCCCACC